AUUGAACGCUGGCGGCAUGCUUUACACAUGCAAGUCGGACGAGUGGCGGACGGGUGAGUAAUGUAUGGGGACUGCCCGAUAGAGGGGGAUAACUACUGGAAACGGUGGCUACUACCGCAUAAUGCUGGAUAACCCUUAUGGGAUUAGCUAGUAGGUAAGGUAAUGGCUUACUUAGGCGACGAUCCCUAGCUGGUCUGAGAGGAUGAUCAGCCACACUGGGACUGAGACACGGCCCAGACUCCUACGGAGGCAGCAGUAGGGAAUAUUGCACAAUGGGCGCAAGCCUGAUGCAGCCAUGCCGCGUGUGUGAAGAAGGCCCUAGGGUUGUAAAGUACUUUCAGUCGGGAGGCGUUACCUACAGAAGAAGCACCGGCUAACUACGUGCCAGCAGCCGCGGUAAUUC
rnacentral:rRNA from 1 species